GAAUUCGCCCUUCCUACGGGAGGCAGCAGUCGGGAAUUUUGGGCAAUGGGCGAAAGCCUGACCCAGCAACGCCGCGUGAAGGAUGAAAUCCUUCGGGAUGUAAACUUCGCAAGAACGGGAAGAAUAAGUGAGAGCUAACAUCUCUUACGAUGACGGUACUGUUUGUAAGCUCCGGCUAACUCCGUGCCAGCAGCCGCGGUAAUAAGGGCGAAUUCGGA
rnacentral:rRNA from 1 species